AACGUAGGUACCGAGCGUUAUCCGGAUUUACUGGGCGUAAAGCGCGUUCAGGCGGCUUAGCAAGUCGGGCAUGAAAUCUCUCGGCUCAACCGGGAGGGGCUGUCCGAUACUGCUGGGCUUGAGGGCAGUAGAGGGUGGUGGAAUUCCGGGUGUAGUGGUGAAAUGCGUAGAUAUCCGGAGGAACACCAGUGGCGAAAGCGGCCACCUGGACUGUACCUGACGCUCCAACGCGAAAGCUAGGGGAGCGAACGGG
rnacentral:rRNA from 1 species